rnacentral:misc_RNA from 1 species
AAAUAAAUAAAUAAAUAAAAUAAAGCAAUCAAGAAUCAUGAUACAUGUCUUCAAUUGAACUCUAAAAAAGAAAGCGAAAUUGUUGCAUGUCUUUAUCAAAGCUUUACCCAACUUGGGAUAUGAAUAACGUAGGGGCCAACACUCCUUUGGAUGCCAUUACGCUAAGUAGGGACAAAUUCCACUAAAAUAUAAAGUCCUUUCUUCUAAGUAGGCAUAUUAUUUUCACAGAGAAACUGUGGGAAUUAUUGGAUUGGAUCUACACUCUGCUUUCGGUUCUAGAAUUGGGGAAUUGAAACCGAACUGGCCCUUGAUUUUAAUUCUAGUUCCCAUUUUGAUUUUAAUUUCAAUUCACUUCAGUUUUAAUUAAAUACAAUAAUAAGAUUUUUUUUAUGAAAAAAGAAAA